UGGGGAAUCUUGGACAAUGGGCGAAAGCCUGAUCCAGCCAUGCCGCGUGAGUGACGAAGGUCUUCGGAUUGUAAAGCUCUUUUGGCGGGGACGAUAAUGACGGUACCCGCAGAAUAAGCCCCGGCUAACUUCGUGCCAGCAGCCGCGGUAAUACGAAGGGGGCUAGCGUUGUUCGGAAUUACUGGGCGUAAAGCGCACGUAGGCGGAUUUGUAAGUCAGGGGUGAAAUCCCGGGGCUCAACCUCGGAACUGCCCCUUGAUACUGCAAAUCUCGAGUCCGAUAGAGGUGAGUGGAAUUCCUAGUGUAGAGGUGAAAUUCGUAGAUAUUAGGAAGAACACCAGUGGCGAAGGCGGCUCACUGGAUCGGUACUGACGCUGAGGUGCGAAAGCGUGGGGAGCAAACAGGAUUAGAUACCCCUGUAGUCCCUGAGCGGGCUGGCAAGGCGCAU
rnacentral:rRNA from 1 species